UGCAUUUGUAGCCUAUGAGGAUGAGAACCUCCGGGGGCAGGGAGGUUCGACUCGAGCGAAGCGAGAGAACGUUGCGCCAGCAACGGCCCGC
rnacentral:sRNA from 1 species